CUUUCAGCCAGUUAUGGGGACAGAGUGUUCUGCUUUCGGGCGUGUAGUUUUUCCUCUCUACAGGUCUUCAGCUGUUCCUGUGGGCCUGUGUCUUGAGUUCACCAGGCAGGUUUCUUGCAGGGGAAAAGUUGGUCCUACCUGUGGUUCCAAGGCUCAAGUUUGCUCGUGGGGUACUGCCCAAGUCCUCUCCGCGGCGGCAGCAACUGGGAAGAUCUGAGCCGCUCUUUCCGGGAGCCUCCGUGCACCAGGGUUCCAGAUGACGUUUGGUGUUUUCCUCUGGCGUCUGGAUGUGCACAGAGUGCAGUCUCUUCUGGUUUCCCAGGCGUGUCUGCCUCUCUGAAGGUUUAGCUCUCCCUCCCACAGGAUUUGGGUGCAGAGAACUGUUUAUCCGGUCUGUUUCCCUCAGGUUCCGGCGGUGUCUCAGGCGCAGGGAUCCUGCCGCUCCUGGGCCCUCCCCCACGGGAACCCAGAGGCCCCAUACAGUUGCCUCUUGGGCCAGGGAUGUGGGCAGGGGUGGGCAGUGCCGGUGGUCUCCUCCGCUCUGCAGCUUCAGGAGUGCCCACCUGAUCAGGCGGUGAGGUCUCUCUCCCACGGGGUUUGGGAGCAGAGAGCUGCUGCGGGCCGGGAUCCGCGGGUGUGGGACCUCCGGUAAACACAGGAAGUGCCCGGUCCUAGAGGAAUUCCGCCUCCGCGCGUCCCGAGCUCUCCAGGCAGGUUUCUUGCAGGGGAAAAGCUGGUCCUACCUGCGGUUCCAAGGCUCAAGUUUGCUCGUGGGGUACUGCCCAAGUCCUCUCCGCGGCGUCAGCAACCGGGAAGAUCUGCGCCGCUCCUUCCGGGAGCCUCCGUGCACCAGGGUUCCAGAUGGCGUUUGGUGUUUUCCUCUGGCGUCUGGAUGUGCACAGAGUGCAGUCUCUUCUGGUUUGCCUCUGCCUCUGUUCUAAACUUUGCCUCCCUAUUCCCUGCCAAGGUAAAUUGAUGGAACUGGAGAAUAACCCAGAUCCAGAAAGACAAAUAUCACAUUUUGACCUACAAGUACAAAAUAGCACACCGAGAUUGAUUUGGAGUAUCCAGACAACCCAGGCAUUCGUUCUUCAUGGGUCAUUCAGCUUGCUUCUUUAAACAACCCCGGAGCAUAGGGUUGGCACUAUGCGCAGUAGACUGGGCCUUCCAAGAUCCAUCAUUGUUCACCAGAACUUGAUGAUAAAACCCUAUUGCUGAAGACACUACAAGUUUUGGACACAGGAUAUGAAAAAUCAAACUGGUAGUGACUCAGAUGCUUUCUAUCUAAUGGCUAG
ensembl:lncRNA